UGGGGAAUUUUGGACAAUGGGCGAAAGCCUGAUCCAGCAAUGCCGCGUGUGUGAAGAAGGCCUUCGGGUUGUAAAGCACUUUUGUCCGGAAAGAAAUCCUUGGCUCUAAUACAGUCGGGGGAUGACGGUACCGGAAGAAUAAGCACCGGCUAACUACGUGCCAGCAGCCGCGGUAAUACGUAGGGUGCAAGCGUUAAUCGGAAUUACUGGGCGUAAAGCGUGCGCAGGCGGUUUGCUAAGACCGAUGUGAAAUCCCCGGGCUCAACCUGGGAACUGCAUUGGUGACUGGCAGGCUAGAGUAUGGCAGAGGGGGGUAGAAUUCCACGUGUAGCAGUGAAAUGCGUAGAGAUGUGGAGGAAUACCGAUGGCGAAGGCAGCCCCCUGGGCCAAUACUGACGCUCAUGCACGAAAGCGUGGGGAGCAAACAGGAUUAGAUACCCUGGUAGUCCACGCCCUAAACGAUGUCAACUAGUUGUUGGGGAUUCAUUUCCUAGUAACGUAGCUAACGCGUGAAGUUGACCGCCUGGGGAGUACGGUCGCAAGAUUAAACUCAAUGAAUUGACGGGGUCAUAGCUGUUUCCU
rnacentral:rRNA from 1 species